AACGAACGCUGGCGGCAGGCCUAACACAUGCAAGUCGAGCGAGCAUUUCGGUGCUAGCGGCGGACGGGUGAGUAACGCGUGGGAACGUGCCCUUUUCUGCGGAAUAGUCCUGGGAAACUGGGGGUAAUACCGCAUACGCCCUUUUGGGGAAAGAUUUAUCGGAGAAGGAUCGGCCCGCGUUGGAUUAGGUAGUUGGUGGGGUAAUGGCCCACCAAGCCGACGAUCCAUAGCUGGUUUGAGAGGAUGAUCAGCCACACUGGGACUGAGACACGGCCCAGACUCCUACGGGAGGCAGCAGUGGGGAAUCUUAGACAAUGGGGGCAACCCUGAUCUAGCCAUGCCGCGUGAGUGAUGAAGGCCUUAGGGUUGUAAAUCUCUUUCAGCUGGGAAGAUAAUGACGGUACCAGCAGAAGAAGCCCCGGCUAACUCCGUG
rnacentral:rRNA from 1 species